rnacentral:lncRNA from 1 species
UGUAAGCUGUCGUUCAAUCUGUUUUUCAACUUUUUUUUUUUUUUUUUUUUUUAAAUCUUAAGUCUAUCUUUCACUCUUUGAGAAACAAAAUCCUUCUACAGGGCACAGGCUUACUUGGUGCCAAAAAGUUGAUUUCCUUUUCACUGGAGCCAUACAUCACCGGCCCUCCCAGCUGCGGUGUCAGCCUCUGACAGAAUGACAUGUGUCAUUUAUCAAAGGGGCCAGGCUGGGCCUUGGGAAAGGCGGCCGGCAAAGCCUGGGAGAGUUCAUUUCGCAGUCCCCUCCUACCCUCUGCGAGCCCCUUGCCAGGAAAGCCUGUGCUGCUUCUGUCCUCACAGCGUUCCUGAGGGCCGCUACCACCCGACAACAACCAAAAACUGAAAAGGAAAACAAACAACAGAUCUGCCAGAGGAAAGCAGCCUCUUGAAAUAUAAACGCGUUUGACUAAAAUAAAUUUGUUUAUUUUUUCCCUGCCC